GGCACAUGGUGUUUUGUGUGUACGACUUAACGUGUCUACAUAGUUUGUGUUCAAAAUCCCCAUCGAGAUGUGCAAGCUGAUCCAGACCUGAUUUCUGUCAUUGCUGUUGCAGCAUAUUAAGUGUCAUCGUGGUGUCAUCAAAAACAACAAAUUAUUGUGAUGUAUCAAACAAAUGGUCUUCUAUCUCUCAAAGUGCCGUUGAUCUCGAAGGCCCAUUCCGGCGGAGCGGGAAAUUUGAUUUCGGCAAACAUGGUGCUACAGAUCAAGGUGAUGUUGCUGCCUUCCGGCGGAUCGUCAGGUUCCCCGACUCUGAUUUCCUGUCAUCAGAAGUUGGUGAGGUGUUAAGUGACGGUGAGGUGUUAAGAAAUCUGCCAGAUUGACCAGGACUCGUGUUCAUCACCAAAUUAUUUCAUGUAGUAAUUUACCUGUUAAGUGAACACUAAGAUUAUAUUGUGAUUCCUUUUCCUAAGUUGAGACAUCAACAUUUUCGUAAAAGGUUUUUUUUUGUGUUAGGAUUCAUUUUUGACAGGAAAAUUAAAAGGAGGGAUUUUUUUUGGGGGGGAAGGAGUUAAUUUGGAUUCUUUAAUUUUAUUUCUGAAGGUGGACGAGGUCGCAAGAUUCAAACUUAACUGUAAAUUCCUUGACCCUUGUUCUGUGGCGUUGGAGGACAGCGUCAUUUGACAGAAUUUUCGAGUAUUGUACAUUUCUUUUGUUCCUGUUCCCAGAAAAUUGACUCAGUUUCAGCCAUGUCAAGCGAUUUCGUAAGGAAUGGUCUCAAUUAGAUAAUGUUUUUUAUUAGCUUGACUUUACUUCUCCCCGAGAUUAGUUGCUCCUGACUAGUAAUUGCUAUUUUCCGUAUCGACUUCUUCCUAAUAGUAAUUGCCACAAUCUUCUCCUGACUGAAUGUCUUGGAUGCAGUUUUAUCAUGGCCAUGUUUACAGUUUGACUGAUGGGAGGUUUCACGCAGUCAUACAAUUAACACAGAUUGGGAUAAAUUUUGUUCUUUCAUUUGAAGACAUUUCUAAAAAGAUUUCCCGAACAUCAACCAGCUCUUUCUCUUGCUAAAUAAACUGUAUAUAUUCGUUUACGAUAUGUAGUGUGUUUAAAAGUAUUGAUUCUUAAAGUUGAGAUGUGUAAUUAAAAACAGAAAUAAAUAGUUGGAAUUGCA